rnacentral:rRNA from 1 species
GAUGAACGCUGGCGGCGUGCCUAAUACAUGCAAGUCGAGCGAACAGAUGGGGAGCUUGCUCCUCUGACGUUAGCGGCGGACGGGUGAGUAACACGUGGAUAACCUACCUAUAAGACUGGGAUAACUUCGUGAAACCGGAGCUAAUACCGGAUAAUAUAUUGAACCGCAUGGUUCAAUAGUGAAAGACGGUUUUGCUGUCACUUAUAGAUGGAUCCGCGCCGCAUUAGCUAGUUGGUAAGGUAACGGCUUACCAAGGCAACGAUGCGUAGCCGACCUGAGAGGGUGAUCGACCACACUGGAACGGAGACACGGUCCAGACUCCUACGGGAGGCAGCAGUAGGGAAUCUUCCGCAAUGGGCGAAAGCCUGACGGAGCAACGCCGCGUGAGUGAUGAAGGUCUUCGGAUCGUAAAACUCUGUUAUUAGGGAAGAACAAAUGUGUAAGUAACUAUGCACGUCUUGACGGUACCUAAUCAGAAAGCCACGGCUAACUACGUG